rnacentral:tRNA from 1 species
GCCGAGAUGGCGAAAUUGGCAGACGCACCAGCUUCAGGUGCUGGCGGUGGCAACACUGUGCCGGUUCGAAUCCGGCUCUCGGCA